rnacentral:lncRNA from 1 species
GCUGUCUGAAACAUCGGAGCUCUUUUCAAAUUUAAAGACAAUGCGGAAAAGUAAAAUCAACUAAAGGUAAAAUGCGAUGCAUAUGCAUUGUUUAGCCUUGCUACCCCGAGGCUCUCCGGGCACUGGUGGUCCUGAUUGACCUUGGUGAGGUGUUCCCCUUGGUUCACAGCUUGAAUGGAAUGGCCUUCUUCCCUUUCCUCCUCGAAGAUAACACAGCAAUCCAUAACAUCCUCCAGAAAUAGGUUCUUCAUUGCUGCUAGUGUCUCAUCUUCCUCUGAUCCAUAUAUGAUAUCAGCGGGCUGAAAGGUCUACUCUAACUGAGGUAGAUGGUGCUCUAGUGGGUAGUAGGAGCCGCACCAUGGUGGCAGCUAGCUGAAAGGUCUACUUUAGCUGAGGUAUAGGGUGCUCCAGUGGGUAGUAAGGACCGCGCCAUGAUGGCGACCAGUGGUUUAACUCCUCCCAAGUAUACUCAUAACCCAGGCCAAAAGUGGUACCAUGCUUCUUCAACUUGAUAGGCUCGGUAAUGUCGUGGAGAUUAUUGCCAAGUCCUUUUCCAGGCUCAUACCCGCUCCAAUUCAGAAUGCUCUCAAUUUUGUUAUCCCACCACUUGUCUUUGUCUAUGGCAUUGACUCGCUCGAUGUGAUGGUAUGUUUCUACUUGAUAGGCUUGGUGAUGCCCUGGAGGUUUUUGCCAAGUCCUUUUCUAGGCUCAUACCCGCUCUAAUUCAGAAUUCUCUCAAUUUUGUUAUCCCACCACUUGUGUUUGUCUAUGGCAUUAACUCACUCGAUGUGAUGAUAUGUUUCACCACCUAUUCUCCUUCUUCCUCCGAUCAUCG